rnacentral:misc_RNA from 1 species
AUACAGUAUGUCUUAAUUUUAAAGAAAACAUCACUGCUUUGAGAUAUAGGAAUAACGUGAAUUCUAAGGCGAACUGUACGCGCAUGAUUUUCGUGCAUGUUGGCACAACCGACUGAACACACUGGCCAGGCACAGGGGUGUACGUCUCUUUCUACAAGUUGGUGCUCAGUUGCGACAGGAAGCAGAGGUGGUUGUUGUUGCUGUGCGAUCUGCGGACUUGGAGAGGGAGACUAACCGGAUAUACACUGCCCUAGAGAAAAGUAUCCAGAAAACCUGGGAUGAGUACAUGGAAGAAGCUUAGACCACCAGUCACUUUCUGCCAGCGAUAUCGUCCUGUUGCAGCCCGUCCGUCAACACCGAGUGAUCGAACUGUUUUAAUAUAUAAUGCGAUGUGAUGACUGACUUUUGAAAUGUGUUGAUCAGUGUGUUGAACAGUGAUUAUUUUAGUUAUAUGUGUAUUCUAUAGUGCUUGCUGUAUUUAUUUAUAUUUACAUCUAUACACUGUCCGGAGUUUUUGCUUCCACCACUUCUUGCUUGAUAUUUCAAUAAUAGUAAAUACGUUCAUCCACUAAUAUGAAAAAUGUCCAGAUUAUCUGUUUUGAAACGCCCCCUCUACCGCUUCAGGUUUCAAUACACAUCCAAAAAUUGAAAGUCUACCGGAGAUUUUGCAUUGCAUCAGCCAUUAAUAAGCCCGGAUAAUAAUGUUGAAAAAUUGCGCGAUGUAUUCCGAGUGUAUUCCGAAUGGAGAAAAGAUGUAAACAUUUCCCAUUACAAAUCUCCGUAAGAAAAUUGUUUUGAAAAUUUUAUGAGUUUAAAGGGAUAUAAUUGUUUAAUGAAGAUGUCUUGGAUAUAUUCCCUUUCAGAGAUUUCAAUUGUAUUUCUUUCACAGGUAGUGUAUUUUUAUUAGAAAUCAUCGCCCUGUUUAUCGAUUGGUCAAAACCUACAGUGACCUAAGAAAUAUCACGGACUGCACAAAAUAAUCAUGAUGAUGCCAGACUCAAAGUCUCACAGGAGACGAUUUGGCUGUUUCUUCUAGCUAACGUGCUUAUGUACAUAAAUAAUAAUUUAGUAAAUUUUACUUGCUUUCGUAAUCAAUUUAUUAAAGUUAAAAGAAAGAUGUUAAUAUAAAUAAUAAAAUGCUUUUUUUGGUGAUUCAUGCAAGUUAUGAAGGUAGCGAUAAUUGCAGAAAAAUGUUUGUAGUGUAUGUUUGAUGUUCAUUCAUGAUUAUAAAGCCAACUAUUGAAUAAAUUAUAAAUCC